AUUGAACGCUGGCGGCAGGCCUAACACAUGCAAGUCGAGCGGAUGAAGGGAGCUUGCUCCUGGAUUCAGCGGCGGACGGGUGAGUAAUGCCUAGGAAUCUGCCUGGUAGUGGGGGAUAACGUCCGGAAACGGGCGCUAAUACCGCAUACGUCCUGAGGGAGAAAGUGGGGGAUCUUCGGACCUCACGCUAUCAGAUGAGCCUAGGUCGGAUUAGCUAGUUGGUGGGGUAAAGGCCUACCAAGGCGACGAUCCGUAACUGGUCUGAGAGGAUGAUCAGUCACAUGGGAACUGAGACAGGGUCCAGACUCCUACGGGAGGCAGCAGUGGGGAAUAUUGGACAAUGGGCGAAAGCCUGAUCCAGCCAUGCCGCGUGUGUGAAGAAGGUCUUCGGAUUGUAAAGCACUUUAAGUGGGGAGGAAGGGCAGUAAGUUAAUACCUUGCUGUUUUGACGGUACCAACAGAAUAAGCACCGGCUAACUUCGUG
rnacentral:rRNA from 1 species